UUUCAAUGGUCUACAGAAAACCAAACAGAGAGCUUCUAACCAACCAGAUCUGGUUUGCCUAAUUUUCACAUUUUACAGGAGAACUGGUUGAUUCAAAGAGUGUGGCGUCCCUCUCCUCUCUAUCUAUUGCUCCAUCUAGCACCAUGUGAUGCUGGCUCCCCUCUUCCACUUUGACCAUGGUUUAAAAUUUGCUGAGAUGAUCAUCAGAAGCAGAUGCUGGCACCCAUGCUUCUUAUAUAGCCUGCAGUUCAUGAACCAAAUAAACCUCUUUUCUUCAUAAAUCA